UACGAAGGGGGCUAGCGUUGCUCGGAUUGACUGGGCGUAAAGGGCGCGUAGGCGGUUUGUUCAGUCAGACGUGAAAUUCCUGGGCUCAACCUGGGGGCUGCGUUUGAUACGUAUGGACUUGAGUUCGGAAGAGGGUCGUGGAAUUCCCAGUGUAGAGGUGAAAUUCGUAGAUAUUGGGAAGAACACCGGUGGCGAAGGCGGCGACCUGGUCCGAUACUGACGCUGAGGCGCGAAAGCGUGGGGAGCAAACAGG
rnacentral:rRNA from 1 species